rnacentral:rRNA from 1 species
ACUGCUCAGUAACACGUGGCUAAUCUGCCCUUGGGACCGGAACACCCCCGGGAAACUGGGGCUAAUUCUCGAUAGGUGAAGAACUCUGGAAUGAGUCUUUGCCAAAAAGUUGUCAGGGUUAUGCUCUCUGAUAACGCCCAAGGAUGAGGCCGCGACCGAUCAGGUUGUUGGUGAGGUAAUGGCUCACCAAGCCAUUUACCGGUGCGGGCCGUGAGAGCGGGAGCCCGGAGAUGGGCACUGAGACAAGGGCCCAGGCCCUACGGGGCGCAGCAGUCGCGAAAACUUUGCAAUAAGCGAAAGCUUGACAGGGCUAUCCCGAGUGCCAUCCGCUGAGGAAGGCUUUUACCCAGUCUAGAACGCUGGGGGAAUAAGGAGAGGGCAAGUCUGGUGUCAGCCGCCGCGGUAAUACCAGCUCUCCGAGUGGUGUGGAUGUUUAUUGGGCCUAAAGCAUCCGUAGCUGGCUAAGUUAGUCCCUUGUUAAAUCCACCGAAUUAAUCGUUGGAUUGCGGGGGAUACUGCUUGGCUAGGGGACGAGAGAGGCAGACGGUAUUUCCGGGGUAGGGGUGAAAUCCUAUAAUCCCGGGAAGACCACCAGUGGCGAAGGCUGUCUGCUAGAACGCGCCCGACGGUGAGGGAUGAAAGCUGGGGGAGCGAACCGGAUUAGAUACCCGGGUAGUCCCAGCUGUAAACGAUGCAGGCUAGGUGUUUGGACGGCCACGUGCCGUUCUAGUGCCGCAGGGAAGCUGUUAAGCCUGCCGCCUGGGGAGUACGAUCGCAAGAUUGAAACUUAAAGGAAUUGGCGGGGGAGCAC